AUGUUGUAUCUUUUUUUUAUAAACAGCUUUGUUGAAAUGAAAUUCACAUAUGCAGUUCAUCCAUUUAAAGGGUGUAGUCCAGUGCGUUUUAGUUUGCUCAGAUUUCCAACGGUGAACACAAUUAUACAAGAAAACUAUACUAUGCAAAACCAUGUGCUUAUCCAAUCCAGGUGUCUGGCAAAUGUGGACUUAGCUGUAUCUUAG
rnacentral:lncRNA from 1 species